GUGGGGAAUAUUGGACAAUGGGGGAAACCCUGAUCCAGCAAUGCCGCGUGGGUGAAGAAGGUCUUCGGGUCGUAAAGCCCUUUCGACAGGGACGAUGAUGACGGUACCUGUAGAAGAAGCCCCGGCUAACUUCGUGCCAGCAGCCGCGGUAAUACGAAGGGGGCUAGCGUUACUCGGAAUUACUGGGCGUAAAGGGCGCGUAGGCGGCUCUGUUAGUCAGGCGUGAAAUUCCUGGGCUUAACCUGGGGACUGCGCUUGAUACUGCAGGGCUUGAGGCCGAGAGAGGGUGGUGGAAUUCCCAGUGUAGAGGUGAAAUUCGUAGAUAUUGGGAAGAACACCGGUGGCGAAGGCGACCACCUGGCUCGGUUCUGACGCUGAGGCGCGACAGCGUGGGGAGCAAACAGGAUUAGAAACCCUUGUAGUCC
rnacentral:rRNA from 1 species